AUUGUCGCUGGCUCCCCUGAGCAUGUGCACAUCGAACAAUGUAUAUAACACACCCUGUGCACCUGUUGUAGGUUCUCGAGAGAGGAUCUACGUUUUUUUGUAACCACACUCGUCGUAUGUCUGUCUAUAAUUAUAUAAUAUACAACUUUCAGCAAUGGAUCUCUUGGCUCUCGCAUCGAUGACGAACGCAGCGAAUUGCGAUAAGGAAUGUGAAUUGCAGAUUUUCAGUGAAUCAUCGAAUCUUUGAACGCACCUUGCGCCCCUUGGUAUUCCGAGGAGCAUGCCUGUUUGAGUGUCAUUUAAUUCUCAACCGAUCCUUGGAUCGGCUUGGACUUGGGAGCUUGUUGGGUCCGCUCGGCUCUCCUGAAAUGCAUUGCAUUAAGCUAACGUGCACGGCCUCUGACGUGAUAAUGAUCGUCGUAGCUGGAGCGUGGCUUGAUCAUCAGAUCGGCUUUACCUACUAGUUUGUUUGUAACCCGAACGAACGAACGAACGCGAGUCUAACCUAAUGACAUGACCUCAAAUCAGGUAGGACUACCCGCUGAACUUAAGCAUAUCAAUA
rnacentral:rRNA from 1 species